rnacentral:lncRNA from 1 species
AGAGGUUUCAACAUGUAGAGGAGAAAUGAGACUACAUUCCAAAUAUCUUGUCCAAUGUGAGUACAGAGAUGGGAGAAGAUAGAGGAUAUAACUACAAAGUGGUAACAAGAAACAUAGAUUCCAGCGUCUACUGACUAGUUAAGAAUGCAAGCUCCUUGAUGGCACGAAAUGUUGUGAACCUUUCUUUGGAAUUUCUUAGUGCUUAGCUCAAUAACUAGUACUUAAGUAUUUUCUAAAUGCCUUUACUUUUCUGAGAAUUAGUUUUGUCAGUAGAAACAACUUCAUAACUUGAAGAACUUUACCAUUAGCACUCCUAGAACUUGGUAGAAUGAGCAAGAAGUGACAUUAAUAUUGCCUUGAAAUUAAUAUUUCCUUAAAGGAGUUUGGAAGACUAUAACAAGCAUGAC